rnacentral:rRNA from 1 species
GACGGAGGGUGCAAGCGUUGUUCGGAAUUACUGGGCGUAAAGGGCGCGCAGGCGGUCGUUCAAGUCGCGUGUGAAGCCCCCGGCUCAACUGGGGAGGGUCACGCGAUACUGAUCGACUCGAAGGCAGGAGAGGGUAGUGGAAUUCCCGGUGUAGUGGUGAAAUGCGUAGAUAUCGGGAGGAACACCAGUGGCGAAGGCGACUACCUGGCCUGUUCUUGACGCUGAGGCGCGAAAGCGUGGGGGGCGAACAGG